UACGGAGGGGCUAGCGUUGUUCGGAAUUACUGGGCGUAAAGGGCGCGUAGGCGGUGCGAUCAGUCAGGCGUGAAAGGCCCGGGCUCAACCCGGGGACUGCGCUUGAUACUGUUGCGCUGUGGAGUCCGGGGGGAGGAUGGGCGGAAUUCCCAGUGUAGAAGGUGAAAUUCGUAGAUAUUCGCAAGAACACCAGUGGCGAAGGCGGCUCCACUGGCCCGAUACUGACGCUGAGGUGCGAAAGCGUGGGGAGCAAACAGG
rnacentral:rRNA from 1 species